GGGGUGUAGCUCAGUUGGGAGAGCGCUUGAAUGGCAUUCAAGAGGUCAUGGGUUCGAACCCCACCAUCUCC
rnacentral:tRNA from 1 species